UACGUAGGUGGCAAGCGUUGUCCGGAAUUAUUGGGCGUAAAGCGCGCGCAGGCGGUCCUUUAAGUCUGAUGUGAAAGCCCACGGCUCAACCGUGGAGGGUCAUUGGAAACUGGGGGACUUGAGUGCAGAAGAGGAAAGCGGAAUUCCACGUGUAGCGGUGAAAUGCGUAGAGAUGUGGAGGAACACCAGUGGCGAAGGCGGCUUUCUGGUCUGUAACUGACGCUGGGGUGCGAAAGCGUGGGGAGCAAACAGG
rnacentral:rRNA from 1 species